GAUCCCGUCGGAAUGUUCGAGGACCCUCUCGUAAGGCUAAAUACUCUCUAGCGACCGAUAGUGAACCAGUACCGUGAGGGAAAGGUGAAAAGCACCCCUGUGAGGGGAGUGAAAUAGUACCUGAAACCGUAUGCCUACAAGCAGUCGGAGGGCUAUACCGGGAAACCGGGAUGCCUGACGACGUGCCUUUUGCAUAAUGAGCCGGCUAGUUAUUCUCAGUGGCGAGGUUAAGCGGAAGCGAGCCGUAGCGAAAGCGAGUCCGAAAUGGGCGUGAGAGUCGCUGGGAAUAGACGCGAAGCGAGAUGAUCUACCCUUGGCCAGGAUGAAGCGCGAGUAACAUCGCGUGGAGGUCCGAACCGGUGUUGGUUGAAAACAGCUCGGAUGAGCUGAGGGUAGGGGUGAAACGCUAAUCAAAUUUCGUGAUUGCCCGUUCUCCUCGAAAUGCCUUGAGGGGCAGCCUCGGAAGGUCGGCGAUGGUGGUAGAGCACUGAAUGGACUAGGGGCCUUACCAGGUUACUGAAUCCAAUCAAACUUCGAAUGCCAUCGACACGUAUUCCGGGAGUGAGACUGUGGGGGCUAAGCUUCAUAGUCAAAAGGGAAACAGCCCAGACAUCCGACUAAGGUCCCAAAAUCUAUGCUAAGUGGUAAAGGAUCUGGAGAUACUCAGACAACCAGGAGGUUGGCUUAGAAGCAGCCAUCCUUUAAAGAAAGCGUAAUAGCUCACUGGUCAAGUGUCUCUGGGCCGACAAUGUAACGGGGCUUAAGCAUAGUACCGAAGUCGAUGAAUAGCGGAUCUUGCGAGGUCCGCGAUUGGUAGAGGAGCGUUCUCUUCGCCGCGAAGUCAGACCGUAAGGACUGGUGGAGCGGAGAGAAGUGACCCUGCCGGCAUAAGUAGCGAGAAGGGAAGUGAGAAUCUUCCCCGCCGUAAGCCUAAGGAUUCCUGAGGUAGGUUCGUCCGCUCAGGGUUAGUCGGGAGCUAACGCGAGGCCGAAAGGCGUAGCGGAUGCACAUCCGGUUAAUAUUCCGGAACUACCAGACAAUCGUUAUCACGAUGGGGGGACGCAGGAGGCUAACCAGGCCCGGGUUUGGAUGUCCGGGUUGAGGCCUGUAGGGGGAACUGAUAGGUAAAUCCGUCGGUUCAUUACCCUGAGGGGUCGAAGCGAUGCCGCAAGGCAAUAAAGCUGGUGACGCCACGCUGCCGAGAAAAGCCUCUAAGGAGAUUGUUUGGUACCCGUACCGCAAACCGACACAGGUAGGCGAGGAGAAAAUCCUCAGGCGCAAGUGAGAAUCCACGUUUAGGAACUAGGCAAAAUUACCCCGUAACUUCGGGAGAAGGGGUGCUCCAGUAGUGUCAGUGACCUCGCGUCAUGAAGCACGAAGGAGUUGCAAUAAAGAGGGUCAAGCGACUGUUUACUAAAAACACAGGGCUCUGCUAAGUCGAAAACGACGUAUAGGGUCUGACGCCUGCCCGGUGCCGGAAGGUUAAAAGGAGAGGUCAGCCGCAAGGUGAAGCUUUGAAUUGAAGCCCCGGUAAACGGCGGCCGUAACUAUAACGGUCCUAAGGUAGCGAAAUUCCUUGUCGGGUAAGUUCCG
rnacentral:rRNA from 1 species